rnacentral:rRNA from 1 species
UACGUAGGGUGCAAGCGUUGUCCGGAAUUAUUGGGCGUAAAGAGCUCGUAGGCGGUUUGUCGCGUCUGCUGUGAAAAUCCAGGGCUUAACCCUGGACCUGCAGUGGGUACGGGCAGACUAGAGUGCGGUAGGGGUGACUGGAAUUCCUGGUGUAGCGGUGGAAUGCGCAGAUAUCAGGAGGAACACCGAUGGCGAAGGCAGGUCACUGGGCCGCAACUGACGCUGGAGGAGCGGAAAGCAUCGGGGAGCGAACAGG